GACGAACGCUGGCGGCGUGCCUAAUACAUGCAAGUAGAACGCUGAAGCUUGGUGCUUGCACCGAGCGGAUGAGUUGCGAACGGGUGAGUAACGCGUAGGUAACCUGCCUCUUAGCGGGGGAUAACUAUUGGAAACGAUAGCUAAUACCGCAUAAAAGACGAUAUCGCAUGAUAUUGAUUUGAAAGGUGCAAAUGCAUCACUAAGAGAUGGACCUGCGUUGUAUUAGCUAGUUGGUGAGGUAACGGCUCACCAAGGCAACGAUACAUAGCCGACCUGAGAGGGUGAUCGGCCACACUGGGACUGAGACACGGCCCAGACUCCUACGGGAGGCAGCAGUAGGGAAUCUUCGGCAAUGGGGGCAACCCUGACCGAGCAACGCCGCGUGAGUGAAGAAGGUUUUCGGAUCGUAAAGCUCUGUUGUAAGAGAAGAACGAGUGUGAGAGUGGAAAGUUCACACUGUGACGGUAACUUACCAGAAAGGGACGGCUAACUACGUGCCAGCAGCCGCGGUAAUACGUAGGUCCCGAGCGUUAUCCGGAUUUAUUGGGCGUAAAGCGAGCGCAGGCGGUUAGAUAAGUCUGAAGUUAAAGGCUGUGGCUUAACCAUAGUACGCUUUGGAAACUGUUUAACUUGAGUGCAGAAGGGGAGAGUGGAAUUCCAUGUGUAGCGGUGAAAUGCGUAGAUAUAUGGAGGAACACCGGUGGCGAAAGCGGCUCUCUGGUCUGUAACUGACGCUGAGGCUCGAAAGCGUGGGGAGCAAACAGG
rnacentral:rRNA from 1 species